GCCCACAUGGCAAAGAACCGAGGGAGGUUCUUGCCAACAAUUCAUGAGGAUUUGAGGUCUUAGUCCAACAGCCCAUGGGAAGUGGAUCCUGCCAGCAACCCUGUAAAGACAGAUGGCUUUUAAUCAGGUGACCAGGUUUGGACCAGGUCCCUUGGGGACCCAGUUCUUUAAAGAUGCUCUGGAUUUCUUCAGAGGAAGCUGUUUGGGGCCAACCGAACUUCUUCCCUGAGAAGCCUCAGUGGGACUUCCCCUCACACAGGCUUGUCUUCCUGAUGCCCUCUUUUGCUAUUCUGAAACCAAAGGUGGUAAUGGAUAGCUUAUGAAUGAGGGCUAAAAUUCUGCCAAUUAAUUGCAUUGAAUGAAGUUUGUAAACAUUGUGAAUGGAAAUUUUAGCACUGUCAACAAGUAUUUACUGACUACCCACUACGUGGUAGAUAUUGUGGGAAUAUUUUUGAGUACAGCGGUAGGCUGCAAAACCAGCCCCAGCUCUCUAUCCAUCCCUGUAUCUGUGUUCCUUGCAAUGUGACUUUGCUGC
ensembl:lncRNA